rnacentral:rRNA from 1 species
GGUGUAGGCGGCUCUUCAAGUCGGAUGUGAAAUCUCCUGGCUCAACUGGGAGGGGUCAUCCGAUACUGGAGGGCUAGAGUGCAGCAUAGGGAAGCGGAACUCCCGGUGUAGUGGUGAAAUGCGUAGAUAUCGGGAAGAACACCAGUGGCGAAAGCGGCUUUCUGGGCUGCAACUGACGCUGAGACCCGAAGGCGUGGGGAGCAAACAGGAUUAGAUACCCUGGUAGUCCACGCAGUAAACUAUGGAUACUAGGUAUAGGGAGUAUCGACCCUCUCUGUGCCGAAGCUAACGCUUUAAGUAUCCCGCCUGGGGACUACGGUCGCAAGACUAAA